GUAGGUGGCAAGCGUUGUCCGGAAUUAUUGGGGCGUAAAGCGCGCGCAGGCGGUUCUUUAAGUCUGAUGUGAAAGCCCACGGGCUCAACCGUGGAGGGUCAUUGGAAACUGGAGAACUUGAGUACAGAAGAGGAAAGCGGAAUUCCACGUGUAGCGGCGAAAUGCGUAGAGAUGUGGAGGAACACCAGUGGCGAAGGCGGCUUUCUGGUCUGUAACUGACGCUGAGGCGCGAAAGCGUGGGGAGCAAACAGGAUUAGAUACCCUGGUAGUCCACGCCGUAAACGAUGAGUGCUAAGUGUUAGGGGGUUUCCGCCCCUUAGUGCUGCAGCUAACGCAUUAAGCACUCCGCCUGGGGAGUACGGCCGCAAAGGCUG
rnacentral:rRNA from 1 species